AUGGGACACAGCGCCGGGCAGCUUGGGGGCUGCUCUCAAUGCAGCAUAUGGGCUGUGGGCUGCGAUGUGCAGGGAGAUGGCUUGUGGCACGGUGAAGCUCUUUUGCACCUAUCAGUCUCUGGGCAGGGGAUGAAGGGGUUUGGUUGCAAGGCUGGUGUGGGCCGUACUGACCACAAAGGCAGUGCUGCUAGGAGAGAGGCCAGGACGCCCCCUUCCUCACAGGUCGCCUUACUGGAAGUGCCGCCGUCUGAUCUGGACCUCUGCUUGGUCUGGUGCCUGGGGAUGCAUCUAGAGGCAGGAGCACUCGGGGCUCCCGACACAGACUGGUUAAUUGUGCUGGCUCCCGUGGUCCCCGACAGGAUGCUCUGGCGUGGUCAUCCUCCAAUUUGGGGCCCAGGCUUGCACUGGAGCCCUGCGGACCACUUGGUGCCCUUCUACUUGAUGCUGUGAUACAGAGUUCCCCAAAUCUGGAGCACAGAUCGGCAACAUCAUCUCCUCUCUCCAAAACUGGGGGUGGUGCCGAAAGCCCCAUGCUGAUAGGGGCCGGCAUUGUGGUGCCAUUUGGGGGGCCGGGAUGCUCAGGCUGUUGGGCCCAGCAUGGGACACGGUGCCAAGUACCGGUUAGGCAAUUGCCAAGCCAGGUGCAGCUGUAGUCGGUUGUGAUGUGGCAAAUAUGGCUUGUUAAACUUAGCAGCUCUCUUGUACUUAAUCAGUCGCUGGGCAAGAGAUGAGGGGGUCUUGGUGGCAAGGCUGCUCUAGGCCUUGCUCGACCAGGGACGUGGGGCCACUAGGAGGAAAGGCCAGGAUGCUCCCGUCCCUGAAGUCGGCCUUGCUGGAAGUGCUGUAGCCGUCUGAUAUGGACCUCUUCCUGCUCAGGUGCCUGGGGAUGUGACUGAAAGGAGGGAACCUCGGGGCUCCCGACACAGGCUGGUUCGUCGUGCUGGCUCCGGUGGUCCCCGACAAGGUGCUCUGGCAUGGGUGGCCACCUGUUUUCGGGCCCAGGUUUGCCCUGGAUUCCUGCGGGCCAUUUGGGCCCUGUUUUUAGCUGCUGUGAUGCAGAGAGCUUCUAAUCUGGAGCACAGACUUGCAAAAUUAUCUCCUCUCCCCAAAACUGUGGGUGCUGUGAAAGCCCCAUGCUGAUUGGGGCUGGCAUUGUGGUGCCAUUUCGGGGGCUGGGGUGCUGGCAGUUGGGCCCAGCAUGGGACACAGCGCCGGGCAGCGGGGGGGCCAUAUCAAGUUAGUGGCAGGCUCAGUUUGCUGGGAUGUCCAGGAAGAUGACUUGUUGCUCUUUUGCACCUAUCAGUCUCUGGGCAGGGGAUGAAGAGGUUUGGAGGUAAGGCUUGUGUGAGCCGUACUGCUGUGAUGCCGAAGACCAUAAUCUGGUGCACAGAUCUGCAAAAUCAUCUCCUCUCCCCAAAACUGUGGGUGCUGUCGAAAGCCCCAUGCUGAUUAGAGCUGGCAUUGUGGUGCCAGUUGGGGGGCCGGGGUGCUGACUGUUAGGCCCACUUUGGACACAGCGCCGGGCAGAGGGUGGUCGCUGUCAAGUCAGUGGCAGUGGCAGUUUUCUGGGAUGUGCAGGAAGAUGACUUGUUGCACAGUGAAGCUCUUUUGCACCUACAGUCUCUGGGUAGGGGAUGAGGGUGUCUUGGUGGCAAGGUUGGUGUGGGCCAUGAUGACCACUAAGGCAGUGCUGCCAGGGGGAGAGGCCAGGACGCUCCCGUUUCUGCGGGCAGCCUUGCUGGAAGUUCCUCCCUCUGAUCUGGAGCUCUGCUUGGUCUGGUGCAUGGAGAUGUGACUGGAGGGAGGAGCAUCGGGGUUCCCGUCACAGGCUGCUUCAUUGUGCUGGCUCCCGUGGUCCCCAACAGGGUACUCUGGCGUGGGCAUCCCCCUACGUUGGGGCCUAGGUUUUCCCUAGAGCCGUGCGGGCCUCUUGGGGUCCUGCUCUUUGCUGCUUUGAUGCAGAGUGGCCCAAACCUGGAACAUAGAUCAGCAACACCAUCUCCUCUCCACAAAACUGGUGGUGCUUCGGAAAGCCCCAUGCUGAUGGGGGCCGGCCUUGUGGAGCCAGUACGGGGCCGUGGUGCUGGCUGUUGGGCCCAGCAUGGGACACAGCACCAGGCAGCUGGGCGGCCGCUCUCAAUGCAGUGUAUCGGCUGUGGGCUGGGAUGUGCAGGGAGAUGGCUUGUGGCACGGUGAAGCUCUUUUGCACCUAUCAGUCUCUGGGCAGGGGAUGAAGGGGUUUGGAGGUAAGGCUUGUGUGAGCCGUACUGACCAUAAAGGCAUGCUGCUAGGAGAGAGGCCAGGACGCCCCCGUCCCUGCGGUUCACCUUGCUGGAAGUGCCGCCGUCUGAUGUGGACCUCUGCUUGGUCUGGUGCCUGGGGAUGAGACUAGAGGCAGGAGCACUCGGGGUUCCCGACACAGACUGGUUCGUUGUGCUGGCUCCCGUGUUCCCCGACAGGGAGCUGUGGCAUGGGCAGCCCCCUGUUUUCGGGCCAGGCUUGCCCUGGAGCCCUGCGGACCACUUGGUCCCCUGCUCUUUGCUGCUGUGAUACAGAGUUCCCCAAAUCUGGAGCACAGAUCGGCAACAUCAUCUCCUCUCCCCAAAACUGGGGGUGGUGGCGAAAGCCCCAUGCUUAUAGGGGCCGCCAUUGUGGUGCCAUUUGGGGGCCCAGGGUGCUCAGGCUGUUGGGCCCAGCAUGGGAAACUGUGCCACGUACCGGUUAGGCAACUGCCAAACCAGGGGCUGCUGUAGUCGGUUGUGAUGUGUCGGAAGAUGGCUUGUUACACUUAGCAGCUCCCUUGCACUUAAUCAGUCGAUGGGCAGGAGAUGAGGGGGUCUUGGUGGCAAGGCUGCUCUGGGCCUUGCUCGACCAGGGACGUGGGGCCACUAGGAGGAAAGGCCAGGAUGCUCCNNNNNNNNNNNNNNNNNNNNNNNNNNNNNNNNNNNNNNNNNNNNNNNNNNNNNNNNNNNNNNNNNNNNNNNNNNNNNNNNNNNNNNNNNNNNNNUCUGAUAUGGACCUCUUCCUGCUCAGGUUCCUGGGGAUGUGACUGAAAGGAGGGAACCUCGGGGCUCGCGACACAGGCUGGUUCGUCGUCUGGCUCCGGUGGUCCCUGACAAGGUGCUCUGGCAUGGGUGGCCACCUGUUUUCGGGCCCAGGUUUGCCCUGGAUUCCUGCGGGCCAUUUGGGGCCCUGCUUUUAGCUGCUGUGAUGCAGAGAGCCCCUAAUCCGGAGCACAGACCUGCAAAAUUAUCUCCUCUCCCCAAAACUGUGGGUGCUGUCAAAAGCCCAUGCUUAUUGGGGCUGGCAUUGUGGUGUCAGUUGGCGGGCCGUGGUGCUGGCUGUUAGGCCCAGCAUUGGACACAGCGCUGGGCAGCGGGGGGUCGCUGUCAAGUCAGUGGCAGUGGCAGUUUUCUGGGAUGUGCAGGAAGAUGACUUGUUGCACAGUGAAGCUCUUUUGCACCUAUCAGUCUCUGGAUAGGGGAUUAGGGUGUCUUGGUGGCAAGGUUGGUGUGGGCCUUGAUGACCACUAAGGAAGUGCUGCUAGGGGGAGAAGCCAGGACGCCCCCGUUUCUGCGGGCAGCCUUACUGGAAGUUCCUCCCUCUGAUCUGGAGCUCUGCUUGGUCUGUUGCCUGGCGAUGUGACUGGAGGGAGGAGCAUCGGGGUUCCCGACACAGGCUGCUUCGUUGUGCUGGCUCCCGUGGUCCCCUACAGGGUACUCUGGCAUGGGCAUCCCCCUACGUUGGGGCCAAGGCUUUCCCUAGAGCCGUGCGGGUCACUUGGGGUCCUGCUCUUUGCUGCUUUGAUGCAGAGUGGCCCAAACCUGGAACACAGAUCAGCAACACCAUCUCCUCUCCGCAAAACUGGUGGUGCUUCGAAAAGCCCCAUGCUAUUGGGGGCCGGCCUUGUGGUGCCCGUAGGGGGCCGUGGUGCCUGCUGUUGGGCCCAGCAUGGGACACAGCACCAGGUAGUUGGGCGGCCGCUCUCAAUGCAGUGUAUAGGCUGUGGGCUGGGAUGUGCAGGGAGAUGGCUUGUGGCACGGUGAAGCUCAUUUGCACCUAUCAGUCUCUGGGCAGGGGAUGAAGGGGUUUGGAGGCAGGGCUGGUGUGAGCCGUACUGACCAUAAAGGCAGUGUUGCUGGGAGGGAGGCCUGGAUGCCCCCGUCUUUACAGUUCGCCUUGCUGGAAGUGCCGCCCUCUGAUGUGGACCUCUGCUUGGUCUGGUGCCUGGGGAUGAGACUAGAGGCAGGAGCACUCGGGGUUCCCGACAAGACUGGUUCGUUGUGCUGGCUCCCGUGUUCCCGACAGGGAGCUCUGGCAUGGACAGCCCCCUGUUUUGGGCCCAGGCUUGCCCUGGAGCCCUGCGGGCCACUUGGUGCCCUGUUUCUUGUUGCUGUGAUACAGAGUUCCCCAAAUCUGGAGCACAGAUUGGCAACAUCCUCUCCUCUCCCCAAAACUGGGGGUGGUGCUGAAACACCAUACUGAUAGGGGCCGGCAUUGUGGUGCCAGUUGGGGGACCGGGGUGUGCUGGCUGUUGUGCCCAGCAUGAGGCACGGUGCCAAGUACCGGUGGGGCAACUGCCAAACCAGGGGCUGCUGUUUUGGGCUGUGAUGUGGUGGAAGAUGGCUUGUUACACUUUGCAGCUCUUUUGCACUUAAUCAGUCGAUGGGCAGGAGAUGAGGGGGUCUUGAUGGCAAGGCUGCUCUGGUCCUUGCUCGAACAGGGACGUGGGGCCACUAGGAGGAAAGGCCAGGAUGCUCCCGUCCCUGCAGGCGGCCUUGCUGGAAGUGCUGUAGCCGUCUGAUAUGGACCUCUNNN
rnacentral:lncRNA from 1 species